GAUAAAGAAAAGAGACAAUAGACAUUAAAGGGGUCAGAGGAGUUCAACACUUUAGUGAAGCAGUGCGUGUGUGUGUGCGUGAGUACCCAGGGGUCAGAGGAGAUGAGGUGGUGUGUGUGUGUGCGUGAGUACCCAGGGGUCAGAGGAGAUGAGGUGGUGUGUGUGUGUGCGUGAGUACCCAGGGGUCAGAGGAGAUGAGGUGGUGUGUGUGUGUGUGUGCGUGAGUACCCAGGGGUCAGAGGAGAUGAGGUGGUGUGUGUGUGUGUGUGCGUGAGUACCCAGGGGUCAGAGGAGACGAGGUGGUGUGUGUGUGUGCGUGAGUACCCAGGGGUCAGAGGAGACGAGGUGGUGUGUGUGUGUGUGUGCGUGAGUACCCAGGGGUCAGAGGAGAUGAGGUGGUGUGUGUGUGUGCGUGAGUACCCAGGGGUCAGAGGAGAUGAGGUGGUGUGUGUGUGUGCGUGAGUACCCAGGGGUCAGAGGAGAUGAGGUGGUGUGUGUGUGUGUGUGCGUGAGUACCCAGGGGUCAGAGGAGAUGAGGUGGUGUGUGUGUGUGUGUGCGUGAGUACCCAGGGGUCAGAGGAGAUGAGGUGGUGUGUGUGUGUGCGUGAGUACCCAGGGGUCAGAGGAGAUGAGGUGGUGUGUGUGUGUGUGUGCGUGAGUACCCAGGGGUCAGAGGAGAUGAGGUGGUGUGUGUGUGUGUGUGCGUGAGUACCCAGGGGUCAGAGGAGAUGAGGUGGUGUGUGUGUGUGUGUGCGUGAGUACCCAGGGGUCAGAGGAGAUGAGGUGGUGUGUGUGUGUGUGUGCGUGAGUACCCAGGGGUCAGAGGAGACGAGGUGGUGUGUGUGUGUGCGUGAGUACCCAGGGGUCAGAGGAGACGAGGUGGUGUGUGUGUGUGUGUGCGUGAGUACCCAGGGGUCAGAGGAGAUGAGGUGGUGUGUGUGUGUGCGUGAGUACCCAGGGGUCAGAGGAGAUGAGGUGGUGUGUGUGUGUGCGUGAGUACCCAGGGGUCAGAGGAGAUGAGGUGGUGUGUGUGUGUGUGUGCGUGAGUACCCAGGGGUCAGAGGAGAUGAGGUGGUGUGUGUGUGUGUGUGCGUGAGUACCCAGGGGUCAGAGGAGA